rnacentral:lncRNA from 10 species
CGCACUGAAGCCACCUCCUAAACCACCGCCCAUGCCUCCGCCGUAACCUCCUCCAUAGCCACCUGCGGAGGCGGAAGUCGUGCUGCUGCUGACCACGGCUGUGGGGGAGAGGACAGGACAGCGAUCAGCGACGGCGCCCAGGCCAGCUGCUAUGUUAUUGUCAAUGAUCCACCGGGCCCACGACUAUCCAGAGCUGAUCAAGGCAGCUUUGCACAGGAUGUUCACCACGAGCCGUUCCAAGGCCACUAGCUACUCACUCCCCUGCCGUUAAGCCAUUAUGAAUUAGCCAGUGGUUCCUCCCACAGUACAGUCUUGAUGACCCCCUUGGAGGGGAUCUAGCGUCUGAAUUUAUCCUCCUAUCAAGAGGCCCCCUGUUGGAUAUUCCACAUUGGCCGUCGAAGCCUAUUAAAAGUGCCCUGAACCCAGAACAAUUACAAAAGCCAAUCACUUCCCUCUCCUCUCCCAGAAAACCCCUCCAACUUCCGUAAAAAUAUGUUUAAAUUAGUUGCUACUACCCUGGAUUAGUGCAGAUAUUUCAGAAUUAACUCUCAUUUUCUUAGCUACUUUCGGUACUUACAGAUGCUGACAGCACUCGGACACUCUCCAGACAUCCUGUUUGAGAAAGCAAGAGAAAGUGGGCCCCGUCACAAAGCACAUCACCAACAAGUCCACGGACCAAGGGCAUGAAUAGCAACCAGAGCUGAACAGAGAAGCCUGGCAAAUCAGCAGGGAAACCCCCAAGGCAGCAGGAAAGAGAACAUCUGGGUUGUUGUGGUAGAAGAUUUUCCUACCCUGUAGUUCCUGAGCAAGUUGGAGUCAGUCCCACAUAGCAGGCAACCAUCUCCCCCAGGGGCAAGACUUUCUGCAACUGAACCACCAUUAGAAGGAUGACUUCAGAGGGUAAAACCAAAAGGCAUUCACCCAGUGACCACUGGGAACUCACUACCCAGCUGUCCAAUAGGCCAUGGCCUCUCUGAAACCUCCAGUGGAUCCCGUAAGAGGUGACUAGCACCCACCUUGGUCUGGUACAGGGCCUCAGCUUCGGCCUUGCUUCUCUGAGCGAUAUCCUCAUACUGUGCACGAACUUCAGCAAUGAUGCUGUCCAGGUCCAGGGAGCGAUUAUUGUCCAUGGACAGCACCACAGAUGUGUCACUGAUGUGGCUCUGCAUCUGAGAUAGCUCCUGUCAACACAGAGGGAGCUUGUUCACUUUUGGGGUCCCUGUAACAAGCACACAGGGCCCUGAAAGACUCUUGAUCAACAGUCUCAUUCACUGAUUCCUUGCUCCACAUGUGUAUCAGCCACACCCUGUCCGCAGCCACUCAGAGAACCCCAUGUCUGCAGCUUAUCCUGUGGAAUCCCUUCCAAGGGUCCUCAUCUCCAGGCUCAUUCCAGAUGUCUUCUGGGGCCUAUAUACCAAAAUGCACCAGCCUCAAAUCUGGAAACACCUCACUCUCCCUCUGUCCCUUCUUAGUAGGUAACAUCCUUACAGCGUCGUAGAGGGUCCUUAAGAAGUCGAUCUCAUCUAUCAAGGCAUCCACUUUGGCCUGAAGCUCCACCUUGUUCAUAUAGGCACUGUCCACAUCCUGAGAAAAGAGGAAGAUAAAGGCCUUAUUCUCCCAAUGAACAAACAGCAAACCACAACUGCAGCAAGAAAGAGCAGAGGGGACUGGUGCAGUGAUGGUCCUUGUCUAAGACCAGUCUCCACUUGAACGGGCAAUUUGUAUCUCAUUAGGAUGGUCUAAGUUUAAUCCUACUAAAAAACUAAAGACUGAUGAACUAACUCUUUUAGGGAUCUUCCAGACUAAGGUGCACCUGACUUCUGUUUAUUGCUCCAAAGGCCUGAACUUGGCAGCUCUGUGGCAGUGGAGUGAGGAGAUUCCCCCAACCCAGCCAGAAACCUGCAGCUGCAAGCCUCAGAAACCUCACACACAGCCCUUACCUUCUUCAGAGUCACAAAUUCAUUCUCAGCAGCUGUACGUUUAUUGAUUUCAUCCUCAUAUCUGUGUGAAUAAAAAAGAAACAGCUGAGUUUGGUUUUGAGGUCAUCGUAAACACCAUUGUUCCCUGGAACUCUGAAAGUUCAUCUCUUCCCUCCCUCCAUCCCUAUCCUGCCCCUCUCAGAUGAGCACAUCCUCUUUACUAUCUCCCUGUUAGUUGGGGGACCAACCAAGUCAAUUUGCCCAGGCAAACUGUCUGGUUUUAGCACUAAAAUUUCUGCAUCCCAGGAAACCCCUCAGUCCCAGGCAAACCUCUGGAUGGUUGAUCACCAUACCAUGAGUUGUCCCAGAAUCUUUCACAUGCCAGAACCAGGAUCUUCCCCAACCUGGCUCAUGAGGAAAUGCUUCCCCAACUCUAAACUCAUCCGUUUUUUGUUUUUGUUUUUUUUUUAGACAUAGUCUCGCUCUGUCACCGAGGCUGGAGUGCAGUGGUACAAUCUUGACUCACUGCAACCUCCAUUUCCAGGGUUCAAGAAAUUCUGUUUCCUCAGCCACCCGACUAUCUUGGAUUACAGGUGUGUGCCACCACACCCAGCUAAUUUUUGUAUUUUUAGUAGAGAUGAUAUUUCGCCAUGUUGGCCAGGCUGGUCUUGAACUCCUGACCUCAAAUGAUCUGUCCACCUCGGCCUCCCAAAGUGCUGGGAUUACAGGCAUGAGCCACCAAGCCCAGCCUAAACUCAUCCUCUUGCCACAAUUUUAUUUGCAAAGCACCAUGCUUGGAGAAGGAAGGUGAGGGGGAACUGAAUGAACCAAGCUGUCCUUCAUGAAGGUUGUAGAGGCUGCGACUGCCAAAGCCACCUGCUCCGCUCCGGAAGCCAUAGGCCCCUCCGCCAGCUCCCCCAGAGUGGGCCACACAGCUCAUCCUGCUGCUGCCGGAGACCACAGCAGAGCGGCCGGAGAAACCCUGGCUCCCGCCACCAGAUGUCUUGCUGGCUUGUCUGCUCAUGAGUCUGACACAAUGUAGGUGCUCAACAAUGCUUCUCGAACUGAAGCAACUGCCCCUGCCGUGCUCUUGGGUGGUGGAUUCACAGGAGAAGGAGCUACCAGCCCGAUGGGAGAAAUGCUGCAGCUUCACAGGACACGACACAGAAAAAGGAGUGUGACCAAAAUCCAGUAUGAGGAGGCCUAAGGGAGACAGAACAGCAGGAUAUUCCAAAGGGGUGGAGCCACUCCUAGAAGACUUCUAGACGAAAGGACUCCUCUUAGGUAUCAGAAUCUUGCCCUCUGUAAGAAGAGCACCUGCCCUGUCUCUAGCAUCUAGGGCCUGCUUCUUCCUCAAGACCCCACUUCAAUACCGCCUCCUGCAUGAAGCCUCCUGUGAUUGCCAACCCCUCACUCUAGACUAGAAGUAAUUUUGCUACCCUCUGGACUGUCAUGUCCUUCAUUUGUAACUUCCAAAGGCAUUCAUCUGUCUGUCUGGUUACCAAGUUCUUUAUGUGCAUGCUUUUAUCUAGACAUUAUCAUCUGUAUUAAAAGCUCCUUGAAAACAGAGUCUAAUUCUUCUUUGUAUAAUGGGUCCCCAUUGCCCA